UGCCUUCCGCCCUUCCCUUGGCUACCUCUGUCUGUCUGUGUCUUGUCCAGUCCGGGUCUCCAGGGCUCCGGCACCGGCAGGCAGAGAGCUACCAAACCCCACCACCACGAACGGCCGCCGCCGACGAGACGGGGGCGCAUGGCGACUGCAUCCUCCUUCACCGCCAUCUUCUUCAGCAGCGCCUUCGCGGCCUGCUUCGCGGAGGUGUGCACCAUUCCUUUGGACACAGCCAAAGUGCGGCUCCAGCUGCAAAGGAAGGCACCACUACCGUCGCCACCAGUGGCUGCAGCAGCUGCUGCUGGAGGCACGCUAGCCACAAUCAUGUGCAUCGCCAGGGAGGAAGGGGUUGCCGCGCUCUGGAAGGGCGUCAUCCCCGGCCUCCACCGUCAGUUCCUCUAUGGCGGCCUCCGCAUCGGCUUGUAUGAGCCUGUGAAGGCUUUCUUCGUCGGAGGCGCUGUUGUGGGUGAUGUCAGUUUACUAAGCAAGAUCCUUGCUGCACUUACCACAGGUGUGAUAGCGAUUGUUGUGGCAAAUCCAACUGAUCUUGUCAAAGUUAGGUUGCAAGCUGAUGGAAAAGCUAACACUAUCAAGAGGAGUUAUUCUGGAGCCCUUAAUGCAUACGCUACAAUAAUCAGACAGGAAGGUAUUGGAGCUUUGUGGACUGGCCUUGGUCCAAAUGUCGCACGCAAUGCCAUAAUUAACGCUGCCGAGUUGGCCAGCUAUGAUCAGUUCAAACAGAUGUUUCUAAAACUUCCUGGGUUUACUGAUAACGUUUUUACGCAUCUUUUAGCUGGACUUGGUGCUGGGUUUUUUGCUGUUUGCAUUGGCUCUCCGGUGGAUGUGGUGAAAUCAAGAAUGAUGGGUGAUUCAACGUACAGAAGUACUCUUGACUGUUUUACCAAGACAUUAAAGAAUGAUCUGCAGCAGUCCAAACAGUCGGCUUUAAUCCGAAGCGUAUUGUGCUUUGACCAUUAAUUCAGUUGAAAAGUUGGUUACAGGUCACUACACAAAUGACUGCCACACUACAGUUUAUAUUUUGAGCUUUAGACUUGAGCCUUUUAAGUUGCAAGAACAUUUCUACAUUUUCAUGAUUGAGGCCUGGAAUUGCAAUGCUCAGAAAAUGUGCAUUCAGCUGGGUCAUAAUCUAAGACAAGGAAUAUUAUCAUGGACCUGGUGCUUUCUACAAGGGAUUCAUUGCAAACUUUUGUCGGAUUGGGUCAUGGAAUGUGAUAAUGUUCUUAACUCUGGAACAGGUCAAAAGAUUCUUUCUAUGAAGAGAUGUCUGCACUGCAAGUAGGGAUUGUGUGGGACAAGGGUAUGCUGAUAUAUAUGGGCGGCAUAAUUGCAUGAUUAUUUGAAGCUACAGGUUUGUCAACCAACAGAAAGCAGCCAUAUAUGCCAUACUGCCACCUACGUCUGGCUCUUAGAUUACAUAUGACAAUAUGUUCUCAUGUUGCAUUUUGAUUAUUAUGUGGCGAUGCUGUAAUAUUUUUGUAUCACAAAUUGAUCAUACAGACCACUGUGUUGGUAUAUUGUAGAGAGCGACACUGUUCACUACUUCACUGCAAGUUGACGUUCAUGCCGAAACA